rnacentral:rRNA from 1 species
AUUGAACGCUGGCGGAAUGCUUUACACAUGCAAGUCGAACGGCAGCACGGACUUCGGCCUGGUGGCGAGUGGCGAACGGGUGAGUAAUGUAUCGGAACGUGCCCAGUCGUGGGGGAUAACGUAGUGAAAAUUACGCUAAUACCGCAUACGAUCUAUGGAUGAAAGCGGGGGAUCGCAAGACCUCGCGCGAUUGGAGCGGCCGAUAUCAGAUUAGGUAGUUGGUGGGGUAAAGGCCCACCAAGCCAGCGAUCUGUAGCUGGUCUGAGAGGACGACCAGCCACACUGGAACUGAGACACGGUCCAGACUCCUACGGGAGGCAGCAGUGGGGAAUUUUGGACAAGGGGCGAAAGCCUGAUCCAGCCAUUCCGCGUGCAGGAUGAAGGCCCUCGGGUUGUAAACUGCUUUUGUACAGAACGAAAAGGUUUCUACUAAUACUAGGAGCUCAUGACGGUACUGUAAGAAUAAGCACCGGCUAACUACGUGCCAGCCGCCGCCGUAA